UGAGGGGGAGAAAGAAAUUGAAAGGGGGAGAGAUCUCACAAGAAAAUGAAAAAUGAUUCAAAUGAUCUCCAAUAAGUAUCAUUUGAAUAUGAAAUCUGAAAAUUCUUGUGAUACUCCUUGAAGCAUGCUACUUAUUGAUACUUUUUGUGCUUCAAUUAUGAACUCUAAUAUUUGAUGUAUUUAGCUCAACUAAAGUUGAUUGCUUGAAUUUAAUGAAAAAGCUAACAUUUGCUAUACCUAAAUAUCUUGAACACUAAAUUAUAUCAUACAUCAAUUGUCAAUAUGCUAAUCUUUCAUGCUUGCAUCUUGAAAGUAUUA
rnacentral:lncRNA from 1 species